rnacentral:rRNA from 1 species
UACGGAGGGGGCUAGCGUUGUUCGGAAUUACUGGGCGUAAAGCGCACGUAGGCGGCUUUGUAAGUUAGAGGUGAAAGCCCGGGGCUCAACUCCGGAAUUGCCUUUAAGACUGCAUCGCUAGAAUUGUGGAGAGGUGAGUGGAAUUCCGAGUGUAGAGGUGAAAUUCGUAGAUAUUCGGAAGAACACCAGUGGCGAAGGCGACUCACUGGACACAUAUUGACGCUGAGGUGCGAAAGCGUAGGGAGCAAACAGG